rnacentral:rRNA from 1 species
GUACGAACGCUGGCGGCGUGCUUAACACAUGCAAGUCGAACGGAAAGGCCCUUCGGGGUACUCGAGUGGCGAACGGGCGAGUAACACGUGGGUGAUCUGCCCUGCACUUUGGGAUAAGCCUGGGAAACUGGGUCUAAUACCGGAUAGGACCACGCGCUUCAUGGUGUGUGGUGGAAAGCUUUUGCGGUGUGGGAUGGGCCCGCGGCCUAUCAGCUUGUUGGUGGGGUAAUGGCCUACCAAGGCGACGACGGGUAGCCGGCCUGAGAGGGUGACCGGCCACACUGGGACUGGGAUACGGCCCAGACUCCUACGGGAGGCAGCAGUGGGGAAUAUUGCACAAUGGGCGCAAGCCUGAUGCAGCGACGCCGCGUGAGGGAUGACGGCCUUCGGGUUGUAAACCUCUUUCAAUAGGGACGAAGCGCAAGUGACGGUACCUAUAGAAGAAGGACCGGCCAACUACGUGC